rnacentral:rRNA from 1 species
AGUCAAGUAAUUAAGUGCAUGUGGUGGAUGCCUUGGCAGUCAGAGGCGAUGAAAGACGUGAUAGCCUGCGAAAAGCUCCGGGGAGGCGGCAAAUAUCCUUUGAUCCGGAGAUGUCUGAAUGGGGGAACCCACCUACUUUAAGGUAGGUAUUGCAACAUGAAUACAUAGUGUUGCAAGGCGAACGAGGGGAAGUGAAACAUCUCAGUACCCUUAGGAAAAGAAAUCAAUUGAGAUUCCCUCAGUAGCGGCGAGCGAACGGGGAUCAGCCCAUUAAGUUAUGUGUGUUUUAGUGGAACGCUCUGGGAAGUGCGAACGUAGAGGGUGAUAUUCCCGUACACGAAAGGGCACACAUAAUGAUGACGAGUAGGGCGAGGCACGUGAAACCUUGUCUGAAUAUGGGGGGACCAUCCUCCAAGGCUAAAUACUCCUGACUGACCGAUAGUGAACCAGUACCGUGAGGGAAAGGCGAAAAGAACCCCUGUGAGGGGAGUGAAAUAGAUCCUGAAACCGCAUGCAUACAAGCAGUGGGAGCACCUUCGUGGUGUGACUGCGUACCUUUUGUAUAAUGGGUCAGCGACUUAUAUUCAGUAGCGAGGUUAACCGUAUAGGGGAGCCGUAGAGAAAUCGAGUCUUAAUAGGGCGUUUAGUUGCUGGGUAUAGACCCGAAACCAGGCGAUCUAUCCAUGAGCAGGUUGAAGGUUGGGUAACACUAACUGGAGGACCGAACCCACUGUCGUUGAAAAGCCAGGGGAUGACUUGUGGAU